rnacentral:rRNA from 1 species
AUUGAACGCUGGCGGCAGGCCUAACACAUGCAAGUCGAACGAGUGGCGGACGGGUGAGUAAUGUAUGGGAAUCUGCCCGAUGGAGGGGGAUAACUACUGGAAACGGUAGCUAAUACCGCAUACCAUCAGAUGUGCCCAGAUGGGAUUCGCUUGUAGGUGGGGUAACGGCUCACCUAGGCGACGAUCCCUAGCUGGUCUGAGAGGAUGAACCAGCACACUGGUACUGAGACACGGGCCAGACUCCUACGGGAGGGAGCAGUGGGGAAUAUUGCACAAUGGGCGCAAGCCUGAUGCAGCCAUGCCGCUUGUAGGAAGAAGGCCUGCGGGUUGUAAAGUACUUUCAGCUAGGAGGCGUUACUCGCAGAAGAAGCACCGGCUAACUCCGUGCCAGCAGCCGCGGUAAUUC